GAACGCUGGCGGCAGGCCUAACACAUGCAAGUCGAGCGGAAACGAUCCUAGCUUGCUAGGAGGCGUCGAGCGGCGGACGGGUGAGUAACGCGUGAGAAUCUACCCAUGAGUGGGGGACAACCCGGGGAAACUCGGGCUAAUACCGCAUACGCCCUACGGGGUAAAGCAGGGGACCUUCGGGCCUUGCGCUGAUGGAUGAGCUCGCGUCGGAUUAGCUUGUUGGUGAGGUAAAGGCUCACCAAGGCGACGAUCCGUAGCUGGUCUGAGAGGAUGAUCAGCCACAUUGGGACUGAGACACGGCCCAAACUCCUACGGGAGGCAGCAGUGGGGAAUCUUGGACAAUGGGGGCAACCCUGAUCCAGCCAUGCCGC
rnacentral:rRNA from 1 species